rnacentral:rRNA from 1 species
AGCCACAUUGGAACUGAGACACGGUCCAAACUCCUACGGGAGGCAGCAGUAGGGAAUCUUGCACAAUGGAGGAAACUCUGAUGCAGCGAUGCCGCGUGAGUGAAGAAGGCCUUUGGGUUGUAAAGCUCUUUCGUCGGGGAAGAAAAUGACUGUACCCGAAUAAGAAGGUCCGGCUAACUUCGUGCCAGCAGCCGCGGUAAUACGAAGGGACCUAGCGUAGUUCGGAAUUACUGGGCUUAAAGAGUUCGUAGGUGGUUAAAAAAGUUGGUGGUGAAAUCCCAGAGCUUAACUCUGGAACUGCCAUCAAAACUUUUUAGCUAGAGUAUGAUAGAGGAAAGCAGAAUUUCUAGUGUAGAGGUGAAAUUCGUAGAUAUUAGAAAGAAUACCAAUUGCGAAGGCAGCUUUCUGGAUCAUUACUGACACUGAGGAACGAAAGCAUGGGUAGCGAAGAGGAUUAGAUACCCUCGUAGUCCAUGCUGUAAACGAUGUGUGUUAGACGUUGGAAAUUUAUUUUCAGUGUCGCAGCGAAAGCAAUAAACACACCGCCUGGGGAGUACGACCGCAAGGUUAAAACUCAAAUGAAUUGACGGGGACCCGCACAAGUAGUGGAGCAUGUGGUUUAAUUCGAAGAUACGCGCAGAACCUUACCAACACUUGACAUGUUCGUCGCGACUCUAAGAGAUUAGAGUUUUCGGUUCGGCCGGACGAAACACAGGUGCUGCAUGGCUGUCGUCAGCUCGUGUCGUGAGAUGUUGGGUUAAGUCCCGCAACGAGCGCAACUCUCACUUUUAGUUGCCAUCAUUUAGUUGGGCACUCUGAAAGAACUGCCA